ensembl:lncRNA
GGGACACAGACGAAUGCAACAUGGUCCUUGCCCCUCACCACACCCCCUGUCUCCCCUGGUCUCCUGUCUCCAUCUCUCCUCACCAGGUUCUUCCUCUGUAACAUGGGAGUCCUCCUUGUGGCAGGCAGAAUUGAGGUCCCAUCCCCUGAGUGUGUGGGAAGCUGCAGGUGUGAAGGUUGAAAGGCACUUGGGGAGCAGCAUGGGAGAGAAGUGGGCUGAAGAGGACGAAGAGGAAGGAGAGACAAGGCAGCCGCCAGGAGGAGAGGCCCUGGGAAAAGGGUGUCGAUGUUUAUGGGGGUAUCAGGAUGGACCAGGUGACGCUGAGGUUUACCUCUUUCUUGGAGGUCUAUUUCUGGGCUGAGUCUUGAAAGGGCUACGUGGAGCUAAUCACGAGUGUUAACCAGAGAAGUGCUGCCAGCACCUCAGUUGCCUUAUCAGCCAAAUCAGGAG